UACGGAGGGGCGAGCGUUAUUCGGAAUUAUUGGGCGUAAAGGGCGCGUAGGCGGCUGUACAAGUCAAAGGUGAAAUCCCUCGGCUCAACUGAGGAACUGCCUUUGAAACUGUACGGCUUGAGGCCGGGAGGGGUAGCGGAAUUCCCAAUGUAGCGGUGAAAUGCGUAGAUAUUGGGAGGAACACCAGUGGCGAAGGCGGCUACCUGGACCGGUUCUGGACGCUGAGGCGCGAAAGCGUGGGUAGCAAACAGG
rnacentral:rRNA from 1 species